rnacentral:rRNA from 1 species
GAUGAACGCUGGCGGCGUGCCUAAUACAUGCAAGUCGAGCGAACAGACGAGGAGCUUGCUCCUCUGACGUUAGCGGCGGACGGGUGAGUAACAUGUGGAUAACCUACCUAUAAGACUGGGAUAACUUCGGGAAACCGGAGCUAAUACCGGAUAAUAUAUUGAACCGCAUGGUUCAAUAGUGAAAGACGGUUUUGCUGUCACUUAUAGAUGGAUCCGCGCCGCAUUAGCUAGUUGGUAAGGUAACGGCUUACCAAGGCAACGAUGCGUAGCCGACCUGAGAGGGUGAUCGGCCACACUGGAACUGAGACACGGUCCAGACUCCUACGGGAGUCAGCAGUAGGGAAUCUUCCGCAAUGGGCGAAAGCCUGACGGACCAACGCCGCGUGAGUGAUGAAGGUCUUCGGAUCGUAAAACUCUGUUAUUAGGGAAGAACAAAUGUGUAAGUAACUAUGCACGUCUUGACGGUACCUAAUCAGAAAGCCACGGCUAACUACGUG